UCAAUUUUAUGAAAGCGAACAAAAUUGGUUAAGUUGAUGCCGAUCAGUUUGCAGUUUGAAAAAAUUCUUCGUUGAGGAUAGAUCGCUAUUUUUAGGAGUAAAUAAAAUCGAACGAGACUAAACAUCGAAACUUUCUUGUUAUAAGCACAACACAAAAAAACGAUCAAAAUGUU